GUCUACGGCCAUGCCACCCUGAACACACCCGAUCUCGUCUGAUUUUGGAAGCUAAGCAGGGUCAGGCCUAGUUAGUACUUGGAUGGGAGACCACCUAGAAAUACCGGGUGCUGUAGGCA
rnacentral:rRNA from 1 species